UACGUAGGGGGCAAGCGUUGUCCGGAAUCAUUGGGCGUAAAGAGCGUGUAGGCGCCAGAAAAGUCCGCUGUGAAAACUCGAGGCUCAACUUCGAGCUGUCGGUGGAAACUUUCUGGCUAGAGUCCGGAAGAGGAGAAUGGAAUUCCUGGUGUAGCGGUGGAAUGCGCAGAUAUCAGGAGGAACACCGAUGGCGAAGGCAGGUCACUGGGCCGCAACUGACGCUGAGGCGCGAAAGCGUGGGGAGCGAACAGGG
rnacentral:rRNA from 1 species